ensembl:snRNA U6 U6 spliceosomal RNA
UUGCUUCAACAGCACAUAUCCUAAAAUUUGAAACAAUACUGACGAGAUUAGCUUGUCCUCUGUGCAAGGAUUUCACAAAAAUUUGUGAAGCAUUCCAUAUUAAA